rnacentral:rRNA from 1 species
GAGUUUGAUCCUGGCUCAGGAUUAAUGCUGACGGCGUGCCUAAUCUAUGUAAGUUGAUGCUUUGCGUAGCAAUACAAAAAGCAUGGCAGACGAGUGAGUAACGCGUAGGAAUCUACCCUUAAGAUGGGGAUAACCUCGGGAAACUGGGGAUAAUACCCAAUGUGAUCGCAAGAUCAAAGCGCAAGCGCUUAAGGAUGAGCCUGCGUCCUAUCAGCUAGUUGGCGGGAUAAAAGCCCACCAAGGCUAUGACGGGUAGGGGGCGUGAGAGCGUGAACCCCCACGAUGGCACUGAGAUACGGGCCAUACACCUACGGGUGGCAGCAAGUAGGAAUAUUGCACAAUGGGACGAAAGUCCUGAUGCAGCGACGCCGUGUGAAGGAAGAAGGCCUUCGGGUUGUAAACUUACGUUAAAAAGGAGCGGCAAACUUCGUGCCAGCAGCAGCGGUAAUACGGGGGCUCCUAGCAUUAUCCGGUUUUAUUGGGCGUAAAGAGUUCUGUAGGUGGUGUGGUAAGUUACAGGUUAAAACCUCCGGCUUAACCGGGGAUGUGCUUGUAAUACUGUCACACUAGAGGCAAACAGGGGAAAGUAGAACGCAUGGUGUAGUGGUAAAAUACGUUGAUAUCAUGCGGAAUACCGAAGGCGUAGGCAGCUUUCUGGGUUUGUCCUGACACUGAGAGACGAAAGCGUGGGGAGCAAAACGGAUUAGAUACCCGUGUAGUCCACGCCGUAAACUAUGUCCACUAGAUUCGUGGGGUUUGAUUUAUCAAACGUGCGUGUCGCAGUUAACACAUUAAGUGGACCGCCUGAGGAGUACGGUCGCAAGGCUAAAACUCAAAGGAAUUGACGGGGAUCCGCACAAGCGGUGGAGCGCCUGCUUUAAUUCGAUGAUAACCGAAGAACCUUACCGAGGUUUGACAUGCAACUGCAAGUCUGAUGAAAGUCAGACGCCUUCGAGGGUGUUGCACAGGUAUUGCAUGGCUGUUGUCAGCUCGUGUCGUGAGAUGUACAGUUAAGUCUGGUAACGAGCGCAACCCUUACUGCUAGUUGUAUCACUCUAGCGGAACUGCCCUGGCAACAGGGAGGAAGGCGAGGAAGACAACAAGUCAGCAUGGUCCUUAUACCUCGGGCAAGACAGGCGCUACAAUGGCCGGUACAAUGGGCAGCAACAUGGCAACAUGAAGCUAAUCUCAUAAAGCCGGUCUCAGUUCAGAUUGAGGGCUGAAACUCGCCCUCAUGAAGUUGGAAUCGCUAGUAAUCGUAGGUCAGCUAUACUACGAUGAAUACGUUCUCGGAUCUUGUACACACUGCCCGUCAAGUCAGCAGAGUUGGGAAUACCCGAAGUAUCUAUUAAUUAGGUCCUAAGGUAGGCUCAGUGAUGAGGAUUAAGUCGUAACAAGGUAGCCGUAAAUCUCUAG